CCCUUAGAUGUUCUGGGCGGCCCGCGCACUACAAUGGCGUGUGCAGCGAGUGCCGAAGUAGAGUUUUCCGAGGUAUUCUUGCAAUGCUCAUUUUGAUGGGGAUAGACCCUUGCAACUGUUGGUUUUGAACGAGGAAUUCCUUGUAAGCAUGGUUUAUCAUCCGACGCUGAAUGCGUCCCUGCCCUUUGUACACACCGCCCGUCGCUCCUACCGAUGAGUCGUCCGGUGAAGUUCGUAGACCUCGUGAUCGCGGAUCACUGGGGGAAGCAAAAUGAACCUCGCGGUUUAGAGGAAGGAGAAGUCGUAACA
rnacentral:rRNA from 1 species